AGUGAACGCUGGCGGUAGGCCUAACACAUGCAAGUCGAACGGCAGCACAGUAAGAGCUUGCUCUUACGGGUGGCGAGUGGCGGACGGGUGAGGAAUACAUCGGAAUCUACUUUUUCGUGGGGGAUAACGUAGGGAAACUUACGCUAAUACCGCAUACGACCUACGGGUGAAAGCAGGGGAUCUUCGUACCUUGCGCGAUUGAAUGAGCCGAUGUCGGAUUAGCUAGUUGGCGGGGUAAAGGCCCACCAAGGCGACGAUCCGUAGCUGGUCUGAGAGGAUGACCAGCCACACUGGAACUGAGACACGGUCCAGACUCCUACGGGAGGCAGCAGUGGGGAAUAUUGGACAAUGGGCGCAAGCCUGAUCCAGACAUACCGCGUGGGUGAAGAAGGCCUUCGGGUUGUAAAGCCCUUUUGUUGGGAAAGAAAAGCAGCAGGUUAAUACCCCGCUGUUCUGACGGUACCCAAAGAAUAAGCACCGGCUAACUUCGUG
rnacentral:rRNA from 1 species